GAAUAUAUCGCACACCCAGAUCAAUACUGCACUAAGUCAAAAAAUCCCCGAAUCGACUUAUUUAUAUAGUUAAAUAGGCAUUUUUUUCCCGCACAUACCACAAAGACAGCCAUAUCUUUAUUUGCUAAAACAGCCAACAGAUGUCGUGCUAAGUCUCUUUUGGUGAAUGAAUAACUGCCUAGUCGUACCACGAAUAAGAAUCUAAUUCGAGUUGCAACUUGUUCCUUUAUAGAAGCAGCAUAUAGUGACGUUACGUAACAGUGAAUUAUUUUGUAAUGGUUAAGUAUUGUUGAAUGAAGUAGAAGAUUACUCCGAAUUAUUUAGAUUUAAUGCAGUGUUGGUGAAUUUCCUGCUUCUGCUGUUUUGAUAGUAUUUCUAAAUAAUACUGUAUUGGUGACGAGGAUGAUGAAGGGUCGGGGUCUAUUGUUGCUUAAAAAGGCAUUGGAAGCAACGGCAAUCGAGGCUGCGUCAACCACUUCACAAAGAAAAAUAGAAAUUUGUGUUGAAAAUGAAGCAAAAAUUUAGAUGCAUCACCAUCAUCAAUCGUGGUAUCACCAGUUACAUGAUUAACUAUCACGGUAUCACCUGUUGCAGCAUCAGCUCUCGAGGUAUCAUCUAUUGUAGCUUCAAAUAAAUCUUUGACACCCGAAAAGAGUAAUGAAAGAGAUUUUAUAGAUGAUUCGGAUCGGAACGGAUCCUACUUUUUCUAUCCGAAAAAUACAAAAAUUCCGGCCACCUGUAAUACCUAGACGGGUAUCUUCGUCUUCCUGCUCAAGUACCUCUUCAGACUCAGGCUCAUCGUCAUCAAGCUCUAGCAGCUCAAAGUGCUCAUCUGACAAUGAAUCCAAUAGACCAGGCCCAUCGGCAGAAGAUACCCGAAACCGAAGCGGAGCGCGGUGCAAGUGAGAUCGGGAGUUGUGUCCUUGCAUACAUUGAGUUGAUACUUGCAAAAAAGGAUCCUAAUAAUGAUGUGAUAUCAUAUUCUAUAGCGACAAUUGCUUUCGGCAACAAAAAAACAAAUACUGACUAUCUUUCUAUGCUUACGCAGUUAACAACAUGCUUAGAGUUAAUUCCAUAAGACAUAAUUUCUUCCGCGGGCAUUCUCGAAACGAAGGGGACAACGUCCACAGUGUAAUAGAAAAAUAGAUUAAAAGAUACUUAAAAUCUGUUCUUAUUUAUUGCCCACAGCAAUAUGCUACUUUAAUUCGUACUGCAAAGAAAACAGGAGAGCCGUAUCAUGUAAAAGAACUUUUACACAAUAACUUUUAUGACCUGAAAGCCCUUUAGGAAUCUUGGGGCAAUAAUUUUAAUGUGGAUGAGGACAAUAACCAAGUCAAGUGGAUUGACAUCAAGCAACUUCGCGUUGAAAAGCAAUAUCCUUUGAGUUUCUUCUAUAAAACAUCGUACAGUGAGACUAAUUUUAAGAAAGUUUGUGUUCGAAGGCGCUACAAAGAUCAAAACUUUUCUCCGCAAUUUCUUAAAGCAUAUACAGAAAAACAACCUGUGGCUGAAAACAAAAAGAGAGAUAUAAUGGAAUUAAUUAAAAAAUAUAUUUUUCCUACUAAUGAUGUCAACUCAGUUACAAGACAGCAUUGAAUUUAGAGUAGCACAGCACUUACAGGAAACGUAAUUUCCUUCAUUGAACUGAAAAUUUCAUAUCUAAGUAUCCUGUGAUUAUUUUAUUUUUUAUAGAAAGUUUAAGAUAGUCAAUAGAUAAUUAUGAAAGUAAACUUGUGAUGUUACAUUAAUUUUUGGUUUAAGUUUGCUUUUUUUUAGACCCCAAACAUGUACCUAAGACUGUGUUUCUUCAUAACAUAAUAUAGCUGAUCACACUGUCACAGUAUAUAAUAAAAGUGCAUGCUGAUUUUCAUAGAUUCCAUUGUUUUAUUUACUGUUUUAUGAAUACAUUCUUGAAAUUGAAACAGAUAA